rnacentral:rRNA from 1 species
UUCCAGACUCCUACGGGAGGCAGCAGUGGGGAAUAUUGCACAAUGGGGGAAACCCUGAUGCAGCGACGCCGCGUGAGUGAAGAAGUAUCUCGGUACGUAAAGCUCUCUCAGCAGGGAAGAAAAUGACGGUACCUGACUAAGAAGCCCCGGCUAACUACGUGCCAGCAGCCGCGGUAAUACGUAGGGGGCAAGCGUUAUCCGGAAUCACUGGGUGUAAAGGGAGCGUAGACGGCUGUGCAAGCCUGAAGUGAAAGGCGGGGGCCCAACCCCUGGACUGCUUUGGGAACUGUACGGCUGGAGUGCAGGAGAGGUAAGUGGAAUUCCUAGUGUAGCGGUGAAAUGCGUAGAUAUUAGGAGGAACACCAGUGGCGAAGGCGGCUUACUGGACUGUAACUGACGUUGAGGCUCGAAAGCGUGGGGAGCAAACAGGAUUAGAUACCCCCGUA